GAUGAAGAACGCAGCGAAAUGCGAUAAGUAAUGUGAAUUGCAGAAUUCAGUGAAUCAUCGAAUCUUUGAACGCAUCUUGCGCUCCUUGGUAUUCCUUGGAGCAUGCCUGUUUGAGUAUCAUGAGCAAAUCUCAAAGUCAAUUCCUUUUGUUAAUUCAAUUUGGUUUUGCUUUGGACUUGGAGGUCUUGCAGAUUUCACAGUCUGCUCCUCUUAAAUGCAUUAGCUGGAUCUCAGUAAUUAUGCUUGGUUCCACUCGGCGUGAUAAGUAUCACUCGCUGAGGACACUGUUAAAAAGGUGGCCAGGAAAAUACUGAUUGAACCGCUUCUAACGGUCUAUUAAGUUAGACAAUUACCCUUAAGUUUGAUCUCAAAUCAGGUAGGACUACCCGCUGAACUUAAGCAUAUCAAUACGCGGAGGA
rnacentral:misc_RNA from 1 species